rnacentral:lncRNA from 1 species
AGUUGGAUGGAGGCCAUCCUCACACUGCUGGCCCUUGGACAUGCCUUGGGCUGGGCCCAGGACUGGCAAUUCAGCAUAGAAAGUGACCUGAGUUUCUCAUCAUUCUGCCAAGUUUAACCAUCAGUGCAGCAGUGACAAUGGGACUAGGCAGCAACAACACAUUCCCAAAUCUCUUAACAGCCCUAUUUCUGCCAGUGGCAAUAUAAAUGCAGCAGCUGAAGAGGAAGCAAAGUCUUGGCCCUCUGCUCCAGCCAGCACCUUGGAAACGUUAACAAAGAGAACAAAUUGCCACUGUGUUUGCAAAGCUCUGCCAGGAAAAAAUGCCUGAGGUUUGCCUUGGUG